rnacentral:rRNA from 1 species
GUGCCAGCCGCCGCGGUAAUACAGAGGGUGCAAGCGUUGUUCGGAAUUACUGGGCGUAAAGCGCGUGUAGGCGGUUUGGCAAGUCAGACGUGAAAUCCCUUGGCUUAACCAAGGAACUGCGUUUGAAACUACUAGACUAGAGUAUCGGAGGGGGUGGCGGAAUUCCCGGUGUAGAGGUGAAAUUCGUAGAUAUCGGGAGGAACACCUGUGGCGAAGGCGGCCACCUGGAAGAUUACUGACGCUGAGACGCGAAAGCGUGGGGAGCAAACAGGAUUAGAUACCCUUGUAGUCC